UUAUCUUUGGUAAAACAAUGUGUUAAUUCACCGUAAAAACUUGAUGUUUUCUUUUAUAAUGCUCCAAAGUCAACGAGCCAAAAUACAUCUGUCAUAGUUGCGUGCAGGACAACAGCUGAAUUAUCAAACGCUGAACAUCUGUGAAUCCAGCACGCAUCUGAGCCUAAUAAACCCAUAUUUAACAGAUGCAAAUGAAAACGAAAUCAGGUGCCAUUAUACCUGUGCGUACGUUAAUGUUUGACGUUUGAACUCGGGAGGAUCGUUUUCCCCUACCACCAAUAGCUGUUUUAUGUUACGAACUCUUUCCAUCGAUUGGCUAAAACAUCGCAGAGGACUAAGGCUCUUCGCUGCGUCCCUUUAUGGAUACACUUAUUGCGGUACUAAAGGGGAACCACAUCAAAUACUCCACUAAUAUGCACCAUACCAUGCAGAAAGUUCAAAUUGGGUUCUUUAUUUUGCCAUUCACUAUCAUGGAGUAACAUUGCUGCCAAAUGGGAACCAGCUGAAUGUCCAGCAAUCA